rnacentral:miRNA from 1 species
UGUGUGUGUGCGUGUGUGUGUGUGUGUGUGUGUGUGUGUGUGUGUUCUUGUACUCCCUAAGUUCACACACACACAGAUCCUCAUUC